CCUGCUUGCAUUUGCCACUCCGGGAACACAAACAAAAUCACAGAUUUUUCCAUUUCCUCUUGCUGUUUUCUUUUGCUAAUCUCCUCACUUGCCAAGUCACUUCCAUAAAAGAAAUGGCAACUAAACUCCCCCAAGAACAGGUCAACCAGUUUAAUGAGGCCUUCAAGCUUUUCGAUAAGGACGGCAAUGGUCGGAUCACUACUGGUGAGCUUGGGAGCGUCAUGCGGUCACUGGGGCAAAACCCAACUGAGGCAGAGCUUGUGGAGAUGAUCAAGGAGGUUGAUGCUGAUGGUAGUGGUACCGUCGACUCUUCAGAAUUCCUUAAGUUGAUGGAAAAGAAGAUGAUGGACUCUAAUUUCGAGGAGGAGCUCAGAAAGGCUUUCGAUGUGUUUGACAAUGAUCAAAAUGGCUUCAUUACCGCAGCUGAGCUCCGUCAUGUCAAGGCAAAUCUUGGUGAUAAGCUGACAGAUGAGGAUGUAAAUGAGAUUAUUCUUGAGGCCGAUGCCGAUGGCGAUAAGCAGAUCAACUUUGAUGAGUUCGCCAGAGUCAUGAUGGCCAAAUGGAAUUGGAAUAAAUGUGUGGGCUGCUAAAGUUUGUGGGAAGAAAGAAAAGAACCCAACACGGAUGCCUCAAUUAUUUGCCAAAGUUUGACAAAGAUGGCGAACAAAUUCCCAUCUAUAGUGAUGGGGAAUCUAUCCUUACUGAAACAAAUCACUGUGGAGUCUAAAGAGAACUUUUUUAACAAACCCUUCAUAGAGAAGAGGAAGGCCAGGAGAUGAAGAGAGAAAUGGCUCAGCCAGACACUCAAAGGUCCAUACCAACAAGAAAGGUCAUCGUCUUUGCUCUAUCCUUUAGGUGCGACCAAACUUAUAUAGUCGUGCUCGCUUCGCGUUGUCAUCCAAAUAACUACUCAAGUAUCUAAUAAAGUCCUAAAGUUCUAAAAUAUACUUGGAUUCUGUUUUUGUUUUUAGUUCAACUAUAUAUAGGAAAGUGAAGAAACAUUCUAGGUAAGUUUGGGAAGAUAUACAUACAUACAUACAUAAAUAUAUAUAUAUAUAUAUUAUGACCCCUUGUUUCGUUCCGUUUCUGAUAAUGAGACCCCUUGUUUCUCGUUGUUGAUUCUCGUAAAAACAGAGAUUCCUUAUAUUGGACUCUUGUUUUUAAGUAUGGUUAAUUACUGUUCACUACUAUUAACUACUGUUGAAAUAAUUGUAAAGGUGCUCCUUGAUCUACAAAAGGAGAACCUAGCUUCAUAAGAACAUCAUCUUCUUCUACUAUUAACUACGCCUUUGAGUUUGUUAAGAAACCUAUUUACCCACCUUCAUUAUAAGAUUUUGUAAGUUGUUUUAUUUUGAAUAAACAUGAUUAUUUCUCUUCUA